AUUGAACGCUGGCGGCAGGCUUAACACAUGCAAGUCGAGCGGAGAUGAGGUGCUUGCACCUUAUCUUAGCGGCGGACGGGUGAGUAAUGCUUAGGAAUCUGCCUAUUAGUGGGGGACAACAUUCCGAAAGGAAUGCUAAUACCGCAUACGCCCUACGGGGGAAAGCAGGGGAUCUUCAGACCUUGCGCUAAUAGAUGAGCCUAAGUCGGAUUAGCUAGUUGGUGGGGUAAAGGCCUACCAAGGCGACGAUCUGUAGCGGGUCUGAGAGGAUGAUCCGCCACACUGGGACUGAGACACGGCCCAGACUCCUACGGGAGGCAGCAGUGGGGAAUAUUGGACAAUGGGCGGAAGCCUGAUCCAGCCAUGCCGCGUGUGUGAAGAAGGCCUUUUGGUUGUAAAGCACUUUAAGCGAGGAGGAGGCUACUUAGAUUAAUACUCUAGGAUAGUGGACGUUACUCGCAGAAUAAGCACCGGCUAACUCUGUGCCAGCCGCCGCGGUAAGAC
rnacentral:rRNA from 1 species